rnacentral:rRNA from 1 species
GACGAACGCUGGCGGCGUGCUUAACACAUGCAAGUCGAACGGAAAGGCCCUGCUUUUGUGGGGUGCUCGAGUGGCGAACGGGUGAGUAACACGUGAGUAACCUGCCCUUGACUUUGGGAUAACUUCAGGAAACUGGGGCUAAUACCGGAUAGGAGCUCCUGCUGCAUGGUGGGGGUUGGAAAGUUUCGGCGGUUGGGGAUGGACUCGCGGCUUAUCAGCUUGUUGGUGGGGUAGUGGCUUACCAAGGCUUUGACGGGUAGCCGGCCUGAGAGGGUGACCGGCCACAUUGGGACUGAGAUACGGCCCAGACUCCUACGAGAGGCAGCAGUGGGGAAUAUUGCACAAUGGGCGGAAGCCUGAUGCAGCAACGCCGCGUGCGGGAUGACGGCCUUCGGGUUGUAAACCGCUUUCGCCUGUGACGAAGCGUGAGUGACGGUAAUGGGUAAAGAAGCACCGGCUAACUACGUGCCAGCAGCCGCGGUGAUACGUAGGGUGCGAGCGUUGUCCGGAUUUAUUGGGCGUAAAGGGCUCGUAGGUGGUUGAUCGCGUCGGAAGUGUAAUCUUGGGGCUUAACCCUGAGCGUGCUUUCGAUACGGGUUGACUUGAGGAAGGUAGGGGAGAAUGGAAUUCCUGGUGGAGCGGUGGAAUGCGCAGAUAUCAGGAGGAACACCAGUGGCGAAGGCGGUUCUCUGGGCCUUUCCUGACGCUGAGGAGCGAAAGCGUGGGGAGCGAACAGGCUUAGAUACCCUGGUAGUCCACGCUGUAAACGGUGGGUACUAGGUGUGGGGCCCAUUCCACGGGUUCCGUGCCGUAGCUAACGCUUUAAGUACCCCGCCUGGGGAGUACGGCCGCAAGGCUAAAACUCAAAGGAAUUGACGGGGCCCCGCACAAGCGGCGGAGCAUGCGGAUUAAUUCGAUGCAACGCGUAGAACCUUACCUGGGUUUGACAUGGAUCGGGAGUGCUCAGAGAUGGGUGUGCCUCUUUUGGGGUCGGUUCACAGGUGGUGCAUGGCUGUCGUCAGCUCGUGUCGUGAGAUGUUGGGUUAAGUCCCGCAACGAGCGCAACCCCUGUUCACUGUUGCCAGCACGUUAUGGUGGGGACUCAGUGGAGACCGCCGGGGUCAACUCGGAGGAAGGUGGGGAUGACGUCAAGUCAUCAUGCCCCUUAUGUCCAGGGCUUCACGCAUGCUACAAUGGCUGGUACAGAGAGUGGCGAGCCUGUGAGGGUGAGCGAAUCUCGGAAAGCCGGUCUCAGUUCGGAUUGGGGUCUGCGACUCGACCUCAUGAAGUCGGAGUCGCUAGUAAUCGCAGAUCAGCAACGCUGCGGUGAAUACGUUCCCGGGGCU